GAGAAUGUUAUCACGGGAGACACACGGCGGGUGCUAACGUCCGUCGUGAAGAGGGAAACAACCCAGACCGCCAGCUAAGGUCCCAAAGUCAUGGUUAAGUGGGAAACGAUGUGGGAAGGCCCAGACAGCCAGGAUGUUGGCUUAGAAGCAGCCAUCAUUUAAAGAAAGCGUAAUAGCUCACUGGUCGAGUCGGCCUGCGCGGAAGAUGUAACGGGGCUAAACCAUGCACCGAAGCUGCGGCAGCGAACGUAUCACUUAAAGCGAUUCAGCGGGUUACGAUUGACGGAGCGAAGCGACGUCAAAGCGUAUACAAAGUCGAGUCGGUUUAAGGAUACGUUCGUUGGGUAGGGGAGCGUUCUGUAAGCCUGUGAAGGUGUGUCGUGAGGCAUGCUGGAGGUAUCAGAAGUGCGAAUGCUGACAUAAGUAACGAUAAAGCGGGUGAAAAGCCCGCUCGCCGGAAGACCAAGGGUUCCUGUCCAACGUUAAUCGGGGCAGGGUGAGUCGACCCCUAAGGCGAGGCCGAAAGGCGUAGUCGAUGGGAAACGGGUUAAUAUUCCCGUACUUGGUGUUACUGCGAAGGGGGGACGGAGAAGGCUAUGUUGGCCGGGCGACGGUUGUCCCGGUUUAAGCGUGUAGGCUGGUUUUCCAGGCAAAUCCGGAAAAUCAAGGCUGAGGCGUGAUGACGAGGUACUACGGUGCUGAAGCAACAAAUGCCCUGCUUCCAGGAAAAGCCUCUAAGCAUCAGGUAACAUCAAAUCGUACCCCAAACCGACACAGGUGGUCAGGUAGAGAAUACCAAGGCGCUUGAGAGAACUCGGGUGAAGGAACUAGGCAAAAUGGUGCCGUAACUUCGGGAGAAGGCACGCUGACACGUAGGUGAAGUGAUUUACUCAUGGAGCUGAAGUCAGUCGAAGAUACCAGCUGGCUGCAACUGUUUAUUAAAAACACAGCACUGUGCAAACACGAAAGUGGACGUAUACGGUGUGACGCCUGCCCGGUGCCGGAAGGUUAAUUGAUGGGGUCAGCGCAAGCGAAGCUCCUGAUCGAAGCCCCGGUAAACGGCGGCCGUAACUAUAACGGUCCUAAGGUAGCGAAAUUCCUUGUCGGGUAAGUUCCGACCUGCACGAAUGGCGUAAUGAUGGCCAGGCUGUCUCCACCCGAGACUCAGUGAAAUUGAACUCGCUGUGAAGAUGCAGUGUACCCGCGGCAAGACGGAAAGACCCCGUGAACCUUUACUAUAGCUUGACACUGAACAUUGAGCCUUGAUGUGUAGGAUAGGU
rnacentral:rRNA from 1 species